GCACGGGCGCGGCCAGGGCGGCUUUUUGGGGCGGGGGCAGCGGGCGAGGCCGCGGAGGGUCGGGCAGCGGCACGUCGGGGUUGCGGACGAUGACCGGAGAGCCGCGGGGCACCGGGGGCUCAGCCCCUCCCCGGGCCGCGGGGUCCCGGCGCUCAGGUGCCGCCCGCGGGCGCGGGGCGAGGCGCUGACCGGGCUGAAGUUGGCGGGGCGGAAACCGAAAAGGGGAGACGGGGACGGGGAAGGAGCGGGCGAGAAGGGAGACUGGGUGGAGGCCGGCGAGAAGCUCGGCGUGCCCGAGCGCGACGAGCCCAGCGACACGAGCAUCACGGCGGCUUCGCACUCGUCGAACUCGAAGCGCGACAGGUCCGGGUUGGGCGGCGGCGCCGCGGCCGCUCCGCCGAGCCGAGCGCGGCCGUCGCCGUCGCUCUCCCGGGACGUUUCGUCUCCCCACUCGAAAUCGGCGCUGCCGCCGCGUUGGCUCGAGGGUCCCGGGGGUCCCCCGCGGGUCUCGGGGAGCCCCUCGAGCUCCUUGGUGCGCAUGGAGAGGUGACGGGAGCAGAAGCCGCGCCGCUGCGACUCUUUGGUGCAGCCGUCGCGGGAGCAGAGCCGCCGCCACUGCUUGCCGUUGAAUUUCUUGCGGAUGCCGUUCGGGGUGCAAACCACGUCGCCCUUCUUGUAUUUGGGCUGCGGGGUCCCCCCGGCCGAGCUCUGCGGGGUUCCCGCGGCCGGCGGAGCCGCGCCGGGCCGGGCCGGGGCUCCGGCGCUCAGCUUGGAAACCUCGGCGUCCUCCGCUUGCCUCGGAGCGGCGGCGGCGGCUUCGUCCUCCUCAUCCUCGGCGGGGUCGCCGCGGGCGUGCGGCGGCCACGGGGGUCGCAGCAGGCGGAGCCCCGAGCGCGGCACCCACACGGGGGGCGCGGGGGGCGGCGGAGCGAAGCGCACCCGGUACGAGGGCGGCUUGGCGCUCACCUCCACCACCGUGCCCGGCCGGUAGAGAGUCUCGGCGGGGUCCAGGCGGGCGCACACCGCCGUGCCCACGCCCAGCGCUCCGGCCGGCGGCGUGGCGUCCAACACCACGGCCGGCGGGUCUCCGAGGAGGAAGCCGCCCUCCAGGAAAGUCACGCCGCGGUCGCCGGCGAACUGAACGCCGAGCUCGUGGCCGCGCCGGAGCUGCUUGACC
rnacentral:lncRNA from 1 species